rnacentral:rRNA from 1 species
UACGGAAGGCAGCAGUGGGGAAUAUUGCACAAUGGGCGAAAGCCUGAUGCAGCUAUGCCGCGUGUAUGAAGAAGGCCUUAGGGUUGUAAAGUACUUUCAGCAGGGAGGAAGAAAUAAAACUAAUAAUUUUAUUUUGUGACGUUACCUGAAGAAGAAGCACCGGCUAACUCCGUGCCAGCAGCCGCGGUAAUACGGAGGGUGCAAGCGUUAAUCAGAAUUACUGGGCGUAAAGAGCGCGUAGGUGGUUUUUUUAAGUCAGAUGUGAAAUCCCCUAGGCUUAACCUAGGAACUGCAUUUGAAACUGAAAAACUGAGUAUCGUAGAGGGAGGUAGAAUUCUAGGUGUAGCGGUGAAAUGCGUAGAUAUCUGGAGGAAUACCUGUGGCGAAAGCGGCCUCCUAAACGAAUACUGACACUGAGGUGCGAAAGCGUGGGGAGCAAACAGGGAUUAGAUACC